rnacentral:lncRNA from 1 species
GUAAUUUUUAACUAUUAUUUUUAUUUUAUUUAUAUGGGUGUUUGGUCUGCAUGUAUGUUUGUUAACCAUGUGUCUGUAAUGCCUACAGUGGCCAGAACAGGGCAGGUGGCACCAGAUCCCCUGGGACUGGAGGUACAGAUGGGUGUGAACCACUAUACUGUGAGUACUGGAAAUUAAAUCAAGGUCUUCAUGCAAAGCAUCCAGUGCUCUGAACUGCUGAGUCAUCUACUUAUCACGUGGGAAGCUGCUUUGGAAUAUUUUUGUUUCCUGAAUCUUCCUGCAAUCUUGACCCACAGUGGUUCUGGGGGUACACAGACAGCACAGGUCUCUGAUGAGUGAAUAAAGGAUUUGAAGCUCAACUCACCCACGACCCUAUUUGGAGGUAAGCAUAGGUGCUUUGAUGAGUGACAAUAAGCUUGUGACUUGGUCAGCGAUAUUUUUUACAGCAUCUUUUUCCUCUUGUAAAUCAUCCAGUCAAAAGCGUCACUUCUCCUGAGUAGAGGAAAGACCGUGUUUGUAGGUAUGAAAUUCUGAGAGAGAAAAGAGGGGAAAGGAAAAAGGAGGUGGGAUGUAUUGUUGCAGGUAGGAUGAAAAUGUCCUCCCUUGGAAAUGUUCACGAGUAAAUGGGUUCUUGCCUCUUCUUUGCAUCUUCCCCAAACCUAGCACUCCUAACAGUAUUGCAGUGAUGUAAUAUUGUAAAAACCAUAAAUAAAUAUGCAUUAUUCAGAACAUGAAAUAACGGGCACAGUGUUAUUAGGCUAAGGUGGAGCAACU